GGGGAAGAAGAUAAGUUUUGGGGGGAUUUUUUGAAGGAUCAGAGAGCUAGCUUCAUGCUUCGGACGGGGAAAAAAGACAGAGAAUUGGGUUAUUUUUCUUCAUAGGAUUUUGGGAAGACUGAGGCAAUCGUUGCUGAAGUCAGUGUUGUACUGGUGAAUCGAGGUUUUAAUGAAGUGGAUUUGAUUACUCUUGACUAUUUUCUGAAAUCGAGUUACGUCUGUGAUCAAGAAUUAAAAAGGUGUCUAUAGGAUUGAGUAUGCGGAGUGAAUGAAAUUUAUUAGAUUAAUCUAACGAGACAAUCAGUAGAUACAAGAUCGUGAGUAUAAAGCGAUA
rnacentral:lncRNA from 1 species